GGCAGCUCUUGUGCCCCAAGGAUGGGAGUGUGGAGGAGGGCAGUGUGUGAAGAGAGCACCGAUAUUCAGAAAGAAUUCUCUAAACUUCGCAUUGAUGUCGAAUUUGUCCCCGGUAUUUCCAGCAGGAAGCACAUCUGUUUCUGAGGGCAGAGACUGCGGUGAAAUACUCCAGUGUGAGGAACAACUGUGCUAAGUCGUGAUGCAGGGAAUGGAGCGGAUGCCGAGCCUGGCAGUCAUGUGACCCUCCCGGCUGUCUCUGCUGGAAGAAAUGAGAAACUCACCCAUUAAGAGACCUUCUACAGAAGCUCCUUUCUUAUCAGCUGGAAUUUGAGUGAGCUCUCUCAGCCUCUCAGCUUGUUUUCCCAAGUUUACACAAUAAUAAAAUACACACAAUGACCCUCUUA